UACGGAGGGUGCGAGCGUUGUCCGGAAUCACUGGGCGUAAAGGGCGCGUAGGCGGCUUUUUAAGGGUGCGGUGAAAGCCCGGGGCUCAACCCCGGGUCGGCCGUGCGGACUGCCGGGCUCGAGCACUGUAGAGGCAGGUGGAAUUCCGGGUGUAGCGGUGGAAUGCGUAGAGAUCCGGAAGAACACCGGUGGCGAAGGCGGCCUGCUGGGCAGUAGCUGACGCUGAAGCGCGACAGCGUGGGGAGCAAACAGG
rnacentral:rRNA from 1 species